rnacentral:rRNA from 1 species
GUCUUUUUGAUUUUAAUUUAAGGUCUGACCUGCCCAAUGAGUAUUUUAAUGGCCGCAGUAUUUUGACUGUGCAAAGGUAGCAUAAUCAUUAGUUUCUUAAUUAGUAACUGGAAUGAAAGGUUGGACGAGAAAAUAACUGUCUCUUUAUAAAUUAGUUAGAAUUUUAUUUUUAAGUUAAAAAGCUUAAAUUUUUUUAAAAGACGAGAAGACCCUAUAGAGUUUUAUUUAUAGUUUUUUAAAAAUUUAAUUUGAAUAGUAAAAAUUUUAAUUAAGUAUAAAUUUGAUUGGGGUGAUUAAAAAAUUUAUUAAACUUUUUUUAUAUAUAAACAUUAAUUUAUGAAUAUUUGAUCCAUUAAUAAUGAUUAUAAGAUUAAAUUACCUUAGGGAUAACAGCGUAAUUUCUUUAUAGAGUUCAUAUUACUAAAGAAGUUUGCGACCUCGAUGUUGGAUUAAAAUUUAUUUUUGGUGUAGAAGCUAAAAAAAUUAGGUCUGUUCGACCUUUAAAAUUUUACAUGAUCUGAGUUUAAACCGGUGUGAGCCAGGUUGGUUUCUAUCUUUAAAUUAGUUAUAUAUUUUAGUACGAAAGGACCAAAUAUACUAAAUAUUUUAUUUAUAUUGAAUUUUAUUAAU